UUAAAACUAGCAUCUCUGAUGGUGCUGAUGCAGAGGGCCAGCGGACUCUGGUUUGAAAAACACGGCCCUGUCGAAGGCACUUCUACAGGCCCCCCUCCACAUCUCUUCUCUACUGCCAAAGCCCAGGACACAAGAGGCCAGAUGGAGACCAAGGGUUUCACAAGAAACUGAUCUUUACUCAACAAAGUUCUACACAAGUGGAAUCUCACGCCACCUUGGCGCCAGUCCCCAGCACAGCACGGUAACAAAUGGACAGACCCUGGGAGCCCGCAGGAAGAAGAGGAUGAGGGGGAAGGAGGGAUGUGGGAACAAGAGGGACUGCAGAUCGAGGCCAGUCAGGGUCCGCAGCCCUGCGCAGGGGAAAAGGUUGAGAAGCUGAAACUUCGUUGUGCAAAAAUCAACCAAAAAAUAAAUUAAAAAAUUAAAUAGUUUUCUUAAUUAAAAAAAAAAAAAAAGAAAAAAGAUAACUAGAACCAGGCUCCCCUCCCUGAAGGUGGUUGGAGGCCCCCCAUCCUGGAUGGAGAAGGGGUUACCAAUCCCAUCAGACAGCCAAUCCACACACCCCAAGACCCAGCAGAGGAUGCUCCAAAGAACUGGAAUUACCAGAAAAUUAAAUGGUAUUUAAUUUUUUUUUCUUUUUUUCUUUUUUUUUCUUUUUUUUU